AUUGAACGCUGGCGGAAUGCUUUACACAUGCAAGUCGAGCGGCAGCGCGGUCUUCGGACUGGCGGCGAGCGGCGAACGGGUGAGUAAUACAUCGGAACAUGCCCAGUCGUGGGGGAUAACACUUCGAAAGAAGUGCUAAUACCGCAUACGUCCUGAGGGAGAAAGCGGGGGAUCGCAAGACCUCGCGCGAUUGGAGUGGCCGAUGUCAGAUUAGCUAGUUGGUGGGGUAAAGGCCUACCAAGGCAACGAUCUGUAGCUGGUCUGAGAGGAUGAUCAGCCACACUGGGACUGAGACACGGCCCAGACUCCUACGGGAGGCAGCAGUGGGGAAUUUUGGACAAUGGGGGCAACCCUGAUCCAGCCAUUCCGCGUGAGUGAAGAAGGCCUUCGGGUUGUAAAGCUCUUUCGGCAGGAACGAAACGGCGAGCUCUAACAUAGCUCGCUAAUGACGGUACCUGAAGAAGAAGCACCGGCUAACUACGUG
rnacentral:rRNA from 1 species